GUUGAGAGGAUUGUUGUCUGGCUCGAGGUCAUGAAGAAGAGAAUCACUCGAAUUAAUUUGGAAGAACAAAUUAAGAAAACCCUAGAUGAUUCUCGGACCAGGCUUCAUUCCCCCUAAC
rnacentral:pre_miRNA from 14 species